GAAGAGUUAGUCCUGGCAGCUUAGGGUUUAAGAUGAAAAAUACCAUCUGAAUACCUUUCCUCUGGAGGCAAGAGUAGGUGCAUCAAAUUCAAGGUCAGGAGAGGCGUGGGCAAGACUACCUUCCCCUGGCAAAGUGGUCUUUGACACUGAACAUCCUUUUGGAGCCUGUAGGAAAUGCUGUUAUGUUAUAAAGGACAAACUGGUCUGUCCUGGAAACUGUGGAAAGGCUCUACUUACCAGAGCAGGGAAUACUUUGAACUUGGAAGAGGUGUCUUUGUGGGUUUCUACCAUAGCCUUAUUUUAUAACUUUUUUUUCCUCUUUUUUAGAUAGAAGAGUUUCAAGUAACCAAGGCUAGCUUGGACACUCCUUAUGCUGCUGAGGAGCUUGAGUUUCUCCCAGGUGCCAAGAUUAUAGGCACGCACCACCACACCUGGUUUGAGAGACACCGGGGGACUGAACCCAGCCCUUUGUGGGUGUUAGGCAGCCGACCGAGCUACGUCGUGGUACAUCGUUCUAGAACUUGACAGAUGCAGAUUCUGAAGUGCUAACCCUUGCUCACGCUGUGCAGGUGCUGUGAAAGGACAGUGGACACACCCCCGCUCAAGUGUCUUCACGCCAAGGAAACAAGAGGUGAAGGGCAGGGAGGAGCCGAGUCUGGAGGUUCUACGGUGAAGGGUCACAUCAGGAUGGAGGCUGGAGGGACCCCAGGUGGGCUUCCCACAGGUCUCAAGGGAGGAUACAUCUUACAGCAUUUGGCUUCUGGGACCAAAGCAAAAGGGCUUAAGAACUGCUUAAGACCUCAGUGUAUCUCUCCACCACCUGAAACACUUAUUUCUUGGCCAAGGCUCUAUGGUUCCAGGGGCUACCAUCCUGAGAACUCGUGUCUGGGGUGAUAAAAAGGGGUGCUUCCCGAAUAGUUCCUGAAGCAAGAGUAACCACCGGCUUUAUGCUGGCCCAUGUGUCCCCACAGCCGUAGACUGCACCAGCGCGCACAAAAUAAGACUAAAUAAAUCACAAAUUUGCCUUCUUCUGGAUGCUUCU
rnacentral:lncRNA from 1 species